UGAGUAAAUUUAACCAAUAAUCACUGAACUUUACAUUUGAUUACUACUUGCUCACUCAUCUUUCACAUAUUACUGAAUGCUCACUUAUCUUUUCAUAUAAUUACUCAUUCAUCACCCGUCUCUUCAAAUAAUUGGGCGACUUUUACGGCAAAUUUUCGACAACUUCCGACCACAAAGAAUGUCGAAUUUUGAUACCGUUGGAAAGCCCACGAUGUCCUCUUCAAUUACCACCCAAAAUCUCAUUAUAACUCCAAGGGAUUCGAUCGAAAAAUUGCCUUAAAAGUCGCCCAAAAAUUUUGAAAAUCUGCCAAGAUUUUCAAAAUUUUUGGGCGACUUUUAAAGCAAUUUUCGAUCAUCAAAACUAUCUAAUUUUGAUACCAUUGGAAAGCCCACAAUGUCCUCUUCAAUUACCACCCAAAAUUUCCCGAUAACUCCAAAGGAUUCGGUCCGAAUAAACCCACAAAAUCAGCAUCUUGAAAAUGCGAAAAUCUGGACAAAGUUCGGGAUGUUGACUUUGUGAGUUUAUUCCGACCGAAUCCUUUGGAGUUAUCGGGAAAUUUUGGGUGGUAAUUGAAGAGGACAUUGUGGGCUUUCCAAUGGUAUCAAAAUUAGAUAGUUUUGAUGGUCGAAAGUUGCCGAAAAAUUGCCUUAAAAGUCGCCCAAAAAAUCUGAAAAUCUUGGCAGAUUUUCAAAAUUUUUGGGCGACUUUUAAGGCAAUUUUUCG
rnacentral:lncRNA from 1 species